rnacentral:rRNA from 1 species
AUUGAACGCUGGCGGCAUGCUCUACACAUGCAAGUCGAACGGUAACAGGCCUUCGGGUGCUGACGAGUGGCGAACGGGUGAGUAAUGCAUCGGAACGUGCCCAGAGGUGGGGGAUAACGCAGCGAAAGCUGUGCUAAUACCGCAUGUGAUCUGAGGAUGAAAGCGGGGGACCAGGCAGCAAUGUUUGGCCUCGCGCCUUUGGAGCGGCCGAUGUCAGAUUAGGUAGUUGGUGGGGUAAAGGCCUACCAAGCCGACGAUCUGUAGCUGGUCUGAGAGGACGACCAGCCACACUGGGACUGAGACACGGCCCAGACUCCUACGGGAGGCAGCAGUGGGGAAUUUUGGACAAUGGGCGCAAGCCUGAUCCAGCAAUGCCGCGCGCGGGAAGAAGGCCUUCGGGUUGUAAACCGCUUUUGUACGGAACGAAAAGGCUCUGGCUAAUACCUGGGGCUGAUGACGGUACCGUAAGAAUAAGCACCGGCUAACUACGUG